UCAAAUUUUCAGAUUGCUGGGAAGAAAAAAAAAGUUAUGGAUUGAAAACGUGCCUGCUGUUUGGACUCGAUCUCUUUUUCCAAGAUUCUACUUACCGUGACUUGCAUGACUUCGAUACCUAUGGUUUGAUAGAAUGUGCCAUUGAGGAGUGUUUUGAGGGAGUGAAGGCAUAUAAACAACAACUGAGAUUGCAGUCAGCACAAACUGUCCCAGGCUCUGCUGAGUCAUUCUACCAUUGCCUGCUUGCCGCACGGGAGUGUGUAACUUCGGAGACGAUGUGGGAUGAGAAAUGAGCAAUGGGAAGUGUGAUGUGUUGUGCUUGCUUCCAUGAUAACUCACCUGACAGAUGAAACUGGAGUUUUGAAUGAUGUGUUGAAUUAUUUAAAGUUUAGCUUUGACAAAAAGAGCCUGUAUUAGAAACAUAAUUUUCACAAGGAUCACAAAUAAUCUGUCUAAAGAAAACAAGUGUAUUAAAAAGAUAAUAUUAAUGAGAAAAUUGCAAAUAGUAAUAAGGAUUAGUAGAUAUAGUGAGAAGACUGUUUCAAGAUGUAAACAAGCAUUUAGCUUAAGGCUAGAAAAAAAUAAAGUAUUUUGUAUGCCAACUGCCUCGCAACAUUUGUUCACACGAAAACCUGUCUGUGCUCCUAUAUACAUUGAGUUGACUGAGACUACUGCAGUCAUGGUAUAACUAAUACAAGAGCCCUUUUGCAAUAACCUACGCUGGAACUGUGCAAAUGACGGUACAAUAACAUGCACAAUCUUGACUGCAAAUCCCUCUCAGUUUAAGCAGUCUUUAUUCAAUUUUUUAUUGUAGAAUUCCAUUUGUUUAAGGGACGUUAUUGCAAAUGAUUGCAGAGUGGUUAAGUAAAGUUAAGUAAAAGGGACAUCUUCACUGGAUUGCCUGACUCCACUCACCAAACUAUAGAUAACAUGCCAGAAUAAACAGACUUUAUAGGGUGGACAGAAAAUUACGUGCUAUGAAUUCAGUAGGAGUUCAGAAAUAGCAAGAGUUAGCUUCACAUAACUUCACGUAAUAUGAACGGCCAAUAAUUACUGGGUAUUUACCAUUAUGUAAAUGUAGUAACAAAGCAUGCAGAAAUCAAAGGAUCAAUUGCAGUGUCCUUAGAUCACAGAACUGCAUUACAACUAGCUUAUAAACACAAUUAUAAACAAAGUGACAUGGUUAGAUUGUAUUUCUACAGCAGACACAUUUGAAUAGACAACACGUGAGAAGAGUCAGUGCAAUGUCUGUUACCUCAAGUACUUUCAUCAUCUUGUAAAUCAGCAAAGAGGGGGAUUGCCAUUCUUUUACAAAAAGGUGCCAUUUAAAACAAAGAAUAGCAUAGUGGACAAAGAUUGAAGAUGUGUUUUGCCUUACACACACCUGUACCUGCAUCCUGAGACGCUUAUCUGUAAACAAGUGUCUGGCUCUGCUCUGCACUUUCUCCCACAUGUCUCUCCUUUGUGUGUGCAUGUGUGUGUGUGUGUGUGUGUCGAUGUUUGAGUGAGUGAAAUGGAAAGAGAAUAUGCCUUACAGGGACAGAAUCUGGACCUAUUCUCUCUCUCUCACCCUGUGUGUGUGUGUGUGUGUGUGUGUGUGUGCCUACUUGCCCAUUUCUAGUUCUAUAACAUACAUAUUCUAUCCUCAUUUAACAUAAUAAAAGUCCAUCAUUACAACUAGAGAUGUUAUAUUGAAUAUAUUGAAUUAAAUUGAAUAUAAAACAUUUAUUUUGACCUCAU